rnacentral:rRNA from 1 species
UGGGGAAUAUUGGACAAUGGAGGAAACUCUGAUCCAGCAAUUCUGUGUGUGUGAAGAAGGUUUUAGGACUGUAAAACACUUUUAGUAGGGAAGAAAAAAAUGACGGUACCUACAGAAGAAGCAACGGCUAAAUACGUGCCAGCAGCCGCGGUAAUACGUAUGUUGCGAGCGUUAUCCGGAAUUAUUGGGUUUAAAGGGUGCGUAGGUUGCAAGGGAAGUCAGGGGUGAAAAGCUAUAGCUCAACUAUGGUCUUGCCUUUGAAACUCUCUAGCUAGAGUGUACUGGAGGUACGUGGAACGUGUGGUGUAGCGGUGAAAUGCAUAGAUAUCACACAGAACUCCGAUUGCGCAGGCAGCGUACUACAUUACAACUGACACUGAAGCACGAAAGCGUGGGUAUCAAACAGG